AACAAAUAACAAUGCAGUGUAUGUUUCAAGACAGCUGGAAGAGAAAAUUUUGAAUGGUGUCACAUAUUUUCUGUCCACAUCCAUGAAACAGGCAGAGGCAGAUUGGAGUUCACAUGGAAGAGACCAGAAGACGUGCUGUCUGUUAUGUGAGAGACUAUUUGUGAAGCCCGUCAUCUCACUGGAUGGUCUAUUUCACCAGGAAGUUCUACCCAAAAUAGAGUUUUUUUCUAAUCUUCAUACCACUGAGCCACACCAUCAUUUACGUUAUGAGUAUUGAAAUAGAAUCAAACAAAGAACUUGACAAGGACUUUCAAAGAGUUAUAACUCAGAAGAAGAACAAGGUGACACAAAUUUAUAUUAUAAA